GGAGAGAUGGCAGAGUGGACGAAUGCGCCGCACUCGAAAUGCGGUAUGGGGCAACUCAUCGUGGGUUCGAAUCCCACUCUCUCCGCCA
rnacentral:tRNA from 1 species